UACGGAGGGAGCUAGCGUUGUUCGGAAUUACUGGGCGUAAAGCGCCCGUAGGCGGCUUUUUAAGUCAGGGGUGAAAUCCCGGGGCUCAACCCCGGAACUGCCCUUGAAACUGGAGAGCUAGAAUCUUGGAGAGGCGAGUGGAAUUCCGAGUGUAGAGGUGAAAUUCGUAGAUAUUCGGAAGAACACCAGUGGCGAAGGCGACUCGCUGGACAAGUAUUGACGCUGAGGUGCGAAAGCGUGGGGAGCAAACAGG
rnacentral:rRNA from 1 species